ACCAGCUGGGCAUUUUUGUGCAUGCACGACCUGCCUUCGCAAUGAUCUUAAGAUGUCAUGGUAGCGUUUACAUCUUUUAUUUCAAGAUUUAAACAACUAGGAAGUAGCUAAUGUAAUUCACUGCUGAGAAGAAAGGCGAGCUCCUCGAUUCCUUUCCAAAGCGAUCUCCUCCUAAUGAACUUCUCUGGACUAGGGAAGAGAGAAGCCCCUCCCAUUCGCUUCUACUGGGGCUUGUUAAGCCAUCGCCUUGGGGGCCAGCUGAUCAGCGGCAGCCAGCAGCCAGCGGCUUCGGCAGGCAGGAGCAAGGACAGCCUGUGGCUACUGCAGCCCCACUGCCCGGCCACACUUCAUGACGGGAGAGUGCCUUGGGAGGAAUGUAAAGGCAAACCGUGAAGGAAACUGGCAAAUACAUGAAGUCAGUCUCCAUGGUGCGCUUCCACUCCAGGGACUGUACGAGAGGAAAAAAAGGUGCUUCAUAUCCCAACCAAAAGUAUUCUCUGUCUGAGGACCAUUGCCCAAGUGUGAAGUAGGAGACUUGUACAAUUCAAAGGCACCCAUGCGAUGCUCGUGCGAAGCUCUUUUCUCAGCCAGGCACGACAGCAGUGACAUCUCCACCGUGCUUGUCCCACGUCUCCAGAAAGGUGGUUCCAGGUACAAAAGCUCAAGUGGACUGGAGGCUCCCAAAGCUUCUCCCCGUGCCAUCUCCCCACUGGCUGCUGGGUCCAGUGGUGGCCGCUCCUUGGGUACUAGGAACUCCUCGUUCUACAAUGAGAAGCUGCAAGGACUCCCAGAGGCCCAUGGACUGGAGCUGUUAAUGUCCUGCAGAUGGGAGCCACUCUCUCGCUGUGAUCACCAAGGUACCCAGGGCCUCCGGAGGCCACAAAGAAUGGAUAAUUGCAACCCACAGGCCUCCUUCAGAUUUCCUGCAAGCCCUUCUGGUCAGCAAAUACUCUAUGGCAAGUCUGGGGUUUGGUCUUUACUUCUGGUGCCAAUUAACUUCAUCUUCCUUUUCUCUUUGGUCCGUGGAAUUACUCUGCACUCUUUGCAAUGA
ensembl:lncRNA